rnacentral:lncRNA from 1 species
CAGCCUGGGCAACAGAGCAAGACUCUGCCUCAAAAAAAUAAAUAAAUAAAAAUAAAAAGUACACAGGAUUAGAAAUUAUACUGUGACUGUGCCCAGGCACCAAGCUCAGGCUUAGUUAGGAAGAAGACUUGGCAACAGGAUAAUAGAGUCAAGUCAUUAGGCCCUCAUAAGGUCAAACCUAAAACCCUAGCUUCAUUUACAUGAAUUUUAUUAGCAAUUAACCUCCUAGCUUAGAAAUCCCUUGUGGACAGAGACUGUGGAUUUCAUCUUUGAAUUCUUUACAAAGAUCAUUGAUUUAUUCAGUAAAUAUUUAUUGUCUACUUUGUAUUAGGCACAUCAUAAUCUUAGAAAUGAUAAUAUAAUUACCAUUUUGAAGUAGCUGCUUGAAAUACAUUAUUUUAUUUACUUCUUACAACAUCCUGUACGUUAAAUACCACUGACCCCCUUGUUAGAUAAGAAAACUGAAGCUUAGAGAAGAUAAUUAACUGGCUCAAAGCUGCAGCUAGUAAAUUGUAGAGCAAAGAAUCAUAGUCAGAGCUGCCUGAUACCAAAAGCCAUGCUGUUACGAAAAAUAAACCCCAAUUUCAUUGGACAUUUUUUCCUUUAUAGUUUCAAGACAUUGGGGGAUAGAGCAUUUAUAUAACCUGUAGCCUUAAUGUUAGCAAUCCUGUAAAUACCAGUAAUGGAAGAACUUGCCUUUGUAAAAUGAGUCAUUGAAUUUGUUAUGUGGCAGAAAGUCUGGUUGUUUAAAGAAAAUAUGAUGAAAUGUCUCACUCAAUCAUUCAUGCGGGCAAGUUCUGGGGACUGCACUGAGGUUCUUUGUAGUGUGGUGCAAGAAAAUAAGGGUCUUCCAAAAUAGUUGUUCAUGCCAGCUGAAAUAGGUUAAUGCUCAACUUUUCUUUGUUUAAAAAAUUCUGUAACUUGGCCGGGCGCGGUGGCUCAAGCCUGUAAUCCCAGCACUUUGGGAGGCCGAGACGGGCGGAUCACGAGGUCAGGAGAUCGAGACCAUCCUGGCUAACACAGUGAAACCCCGUCUCUACUAAAAAAAAAAAAAAAUACAAAAAAAA